GAUGAACGCUGGCGGCGUGCCUAAUACAUGCAAGUCGAGCGAACGGACGAGAAGCUUGCUUUUCUGAUGUUAGCGGCGGACGGGUGAGUAACACGUGGAUAACCUACCUAUAAGACUGGGAUAACUUCGGGAAACCGGAGCUAAUACCGGAUAAUAUUUUGAACCGCAUGGUUCAAAAGUGAAAGACGGUCUUGCUGUCACUUAUAGAUGGAUCCGCGCUGCAUUAGCUAGUUGGUAAGGUAACGGCUUACCAAGGCAACGAUGCAUAGCCGACCUGAGAGGGGGUUGGCCCACACUGAAACGGGGACACGGUCCGGACCCCAAGGGGAGGCAGCGUUAGGGAACCUUCGGAAAGGGGGGAAAGCCGGACGGGGCAACGCCGCGGGAGUGAUGAAGUCCUCCGGUUCGUAAAACCUUGUUAUUAGGGAAGAACAUAGGGGAAAGUAACAGUGCAGAUCUGGACGGAACCUAAUCAGAAAGCCAGGGCAACUUACGG
rnacentral:rRNA from 1 species